GACGAACGCUGGCGGCGUGCUUAACACAUGCAAGUCGAACGGAAAGGCCCUGCUUUUGUGGGGUGCUCGAGUGGCGAACGGGUGAGUAACACGUGAGUAACCUGCCCUUGACUUUGGGAUAACUUCAGGAAACUGGGGCUAAUACCGGAUAGGAGCUCCUGCUGCAUGGUGGGGGAUGGAAAGUUUGGGCGGUUGGGGAUGGACUCGCGGCUUAUCAGCUUGUUGGUGGGGUAGUGGCUUACCAAGGCAUUGACGGGUAGCCGGCCUGAGAGGGUGACCAGCCACAUUGGGACUGAGAUACGGCCCAGACUCCUACGGGAGGCAGCAGUGGGGAAUAUUGCACAGUGGGCGGAAGCCUGAUGCAGCAACGCCGCGUGCGGGAUGACGGCCUUCGGGUUGUAAACCGCUUUCGCCUGUGACGAAGCGUGAGUGACGGUAAUGGGUAAAGAAGCACCGGCUAACUACGUG
rnacentral:rRNA from 1 species